GGGGGCGUAAUGGUUUCGACGGGAUUGUUGAGACUUGAGUAGCGGGUAGAGGAUUCUCGUUGGCCUCUUAAAAAACGAGAGAUUAAAAAUAAACGCUAAAAACGAUUACGCAUUAGCUGCUGCCUAAUAUAGGCAGCCCGUCAGUCCGGGGUUCCUGCACCUUGGGUAGCUGGCGUCAUUAAGUCAGGCCUUUUGAGUCGGAAGGUUAAACUCUAGCACUGGUUCAGUGGUAGCCUUGAGCUGAACCGGAACUAAAAGGAUACUGAACUGCAGAGUCUGCCGAUAGACUUGGCAGGGAUGGAAAGGGCACCGAGGCAUUCCUCGGUUGCCGCAAUUUAUCGGAUACACCCGUAGAAGCUCUUGUGGAUACGGUUUCGGACAGGGGUUCGACUCCCCUCGCCUCCACCA
rnacentral:tmRNA from 1 species